rnacentral:rRNA from 1 species
UACGUAGGUGGCAAGCGUUGUUCGGAAUUAUUGGGCGUAAAGGGCGCGUAGGCGGCAUGUUAAGUCGGCUGUGAAAGCCUGGGGCUCAACCCCAGAGGGUCGGCCGAUACUGGCAAGCUAGAGUACGGAAGAGGUAGCUGGAAUUCCCGGUGUAGCGGUGAAAUGCGUAGAUAUGGGAGGAACACCUGAGGCGAAGGCGGGCUACUGGGCCGAUACUGACGCUGAUGCGCGAAAGCCAGGGGAGCGAACGGGAU